GCAAGUCGAGCGCUUCCCUUCGGGGAGGAGCGGCGGACGGGUUAGUAACGCGUGGGAACAUACCUUUCUCUACGGAAUAGCCAUUGGAAACGAUGAGUAAUACCGUAUACGCCCUUCGGGGGAAAGAUUUAUCGGAGAAAGAUUGGCCCGCGUUAGAUUAGAUAGUUGGUGGGGUAAUGGCCUACCAAGUCUACGAUCUAUAGCUGGUUUUAGAGGAUGAUC
rnacentral:rRNA from 1 species